UACGUAGGGUGCGAGCGUUGUCCGGAAUUAUUGGGCGUAAAGAGCUCGUAGGCGGUCUGUUACGUCCGCUGUGAAAACCCAGGGCUUAACCCUGGGCUUGCAGUGGAUACGGGCAGACUAGAGGCAGGUAGGGGAGAAUGGAAUUCCCGGUGUAGCGGUGAAAUGCGCAGAUAUCGGGAGGAACACCGGUGGCGAAGGCGGUUCUCUGGGACGGUACUGACGCUGAGACGCGAAAGCGUGGGGAGCGAACAGG
rnacentral:rRNA from 1 species